UGGGGCUCUCCUGAUGGAAGCUUAGAAUGGCCGAGACCCGUGUCAUGUGAGUGGCCCUGGGUGUGUUCUGGACUUCAGCUUUUCUCACACAGGGGUCCUUCUUCACGCCCCAAGUUCCUGAAAAGUUGCGUGCAAACAGCUUCGAUAAAUUGGAUCUGCAGAUGGUGGCUAUCUUUUCCCACUGGGCUCGCUGUCUGUUGGCAGUAACUCUGAACACCUGAGCUCUUCGUGUCUCUCUUGGAUCUGUUGACAGGCAAUCUAGAAAUUGAUUCUUAAAUGCCCUCUUACAGAGAGAGGAUUCACCACCUCGUCUGUUCUUAUUCUGCGAAGAGGCACUUACAUCAGGUCUUCACUAAGUGGUGCUCUGUACUUCGAAUGUACCUAGCAUGGGUAGGCUUUCGUUCCUCCUUCCCGCCCACCCAACCUCACUUCGUAGCCUACAGUUGCAGAGAACAAAAUCAGAGAAGGCUUCCCCUUUGGAAGAAGCUACGGGGAAGAGAAGAAGACUCACCCAGACUUCAGUGGGUGCUCCUGGAUCUCGGAUGCACUGGGCUCUUUGGAGGACUGGCUGCUGGAACGGGUUCGCCUGGAGGUGGUUAGAUUGUCCUUCUACAACCACAGAAAAGCCAUCACCAGCAGAGAGAUCCCUGGAGCAGUUAAACAGAGAUCCUCUUGGAAGAGCUUCUGUAUCGAUGAAAUGUUCUGAAUGGCUCUGUUGUUGAGGUGAUUGCACUUGUCAAAAAUAAUCAGAUAUGUCAGAGGGCUGAGUCGGAAGACGAGGUAUCAGAUAAGGACCUGUUGCAACAGGAGUCUUGGUGCUACAUAGGUGGUCUCUGGGUCCUGUGCUUUUAGCCUCUGACUUAAUUUGUGGGGAAAAAAUAAAGGCAUUUUGUCUUGUG